GUCUGUUUGUGUGUGGAUGGUGUUCAGCACCAUGGACAGGAACAGUUAGUGUGUGGAUGGUGGUCAGCACCAUCGACAGGUCUGUUUGUGU
rnacentral:pre_miRNA from 1 species